GUCUACGGCCUUGCCACUCUGAACAAGCCCGAUCCCGUCUGAUCUCAAAAGCUAAGUGGGGUUGGACCUGGUUAGUACUUGGAUGGGAGACCAGGUGCUAUAGGCG
rnacentral:rRNA from 1 species